GAUGAACGCUGGCGGCGUGCCUAAUACAUGCAAGUCGAGCGAACAGACGAGGAGCUUGCUCCUCUGACGUUAGCGGCGGACGGGUGAGUAACACGUGGAUAACCUACCUAUAAGACUGGGAUAACUUCGGGAAACCGGAGCUAAUACCGUAUAAUAUAUUGAACCGCAUGGUUCAAUAGUGAAAGACGGUUUUGCUGUCACUUAUAGAUGGAUCCGCGCCGCAUUAGCUAGUUGGUAAGGUAACGGCUUACCAAGGCAACGAUGCGUAGCCGACCUGAGAGAGUGAUCGGCCACACUGGAACUGAGACACGGUCCAGACGACUAAGGGAGGCAGCAGUAGGGAAUCUUACGCAAUGGGCGAAAGCAUGACGGAGCAACGCCGCGUGAGUGAUGAAGGUCUUCGGAUCGUAAAAAUCUGUUAUUAGGGAAGAACAAAUGUGUAAGUAACUAUGCACGUCUUGACGGUACCUAAUCAGAAAGCCACGGCUAACUACGUG
rnacentral:rRNA from 1 species